AAAGCUCAAAUUUAAAAUCUGGCAGUCUUUGGCUGUCCGAGUUGUAAAUUAGAGAAGCGUUAUCCGCGCUGGCCGUGCAUAAGUCUCUUGGAAAAGGGCAUCAUAGAGGGUGACAAUCCCGUCUUUGGCACGGACUACCAGCGCUUUUGUGAUGCGCUCUCGAUGAGUCGAGUUGUUUGGGAAUGCAGCUCUAAAUGGGUGGUAAAUUCCAUCUAAAGCUAAAUAUUGGCGAGAGACCGAUAGCGCA
rnacentral:rRNA from 1 species